UACAGGGGGUGCAAACGUUGCUCGGAAUUAUUGGGCGUAAAGCGCGCGUAGGCGGCCACUUAAGUCGGAUGUGAAAGCCCCUGGCUCAACUGGGGAAGUGCACCCGAAACUGAAUGGCUUGAAUGCAAAAGAGGGUCGCGGAAUUCCCGGUGUAGAGGUGAAAUUCGUAGAUAUCGGGAGGAACACCGGUGGCGAAGGCGGCGACCUGGGUUGACAUUGACGCUGAGACGCGAAAGCGUGGGGAGCAAACAGG
rnacentral:rRNA from 1 species